GGCUCAGGAUGAACGCUAGCGGCAGGCCUAAUACAUGCAAGUCGAACGAUACCAGAGAGCUUGCUUUCUGGGAAAGUGGCGCACGGGUGCGUAACGCGUAUGCAACCUACCUUAAUCAGGGGGAUAGCCUCUCGAAAGAGAGAUUAACACCGCAUAAAAUCACACUUCGGCAUCGAAGAAUGAUCAAAUAUUUAUAGGAUUAAGAUGGGCAUGCGUGACAUUAGCUAGUUGGUAAGGUAACGGCUUACCAAGGCUACGAUGUCUAGGGGUCCUGAGAGGGAGAUCCCCCACACUGGUACUGAGACACGGACCAGACUCCUACGGGAGGCAGCAGUGGGGAAUUUUGGACAAUGGGCGCAAGCCUGAUCCAGCCAUGCCGCGUGCGGGAAGAAGGCCUUCGGGUUGUAAACCGCUUUUGUCAGGGAAGAAAUCUUCUGGGCUAAUACCUCGGGAGGAUGACGGUACCUGAAGAAUAAGCACCGGCUAACUACGUG
rnacentral:rRNA from 1 species